GGGUUGUGAGGUUAAGCGACUAAGCGUACACGGUGGAUGCCCUGGCAGUCAGAGGCGAUGAAGGACGUGCUAAUCUGCGAUAAGCGUCGGUAAGGUGAUAUGAACCGUUAUAACCGGCGAUUUCCGAAUGGGGAAACCCAGUGUGAUUCGUCACACUAUCAUUAACUGAAUCCAUAGGUUAAUGAGGCGAACCGGGGGAACUGAAACAUCUAAGUACCCCGAGGAAAAGAAAUCAACCGAGAUUCCCCCAGUAGCGGCGAGCGAACGGGGAGCAGCCCAGAGCCUGAAUCAGUGUGUGUGUUAGUGGAAGCGUCUGGAAAGGCGCGCGAUACAGGGUGACAGCCCCGUACACAAAAAUGCACAUACUGUGAGCUCGAUGAGUAGGGCGGGACACGUGGUAUCCUGUCUGAAUAUGGGGGGACCAUCCUCCAAGGCUAAAUACUCCUGACUGACCGAUAGUGAACCAGUACCGUGAGGGAAAGGCGAAAAGAACCCCGGCGAGGGGAGUGAAAAAGAACCUGAAACCGUGUACGUACAAGCAGUGGGAGCACGCUUAGGCGUGUGACUGCGUACCUUUUGUAUAAUGGGUCAGCGACUUAUAUUCUGUAGCAAGGUUAACCGAAUAGGGGAGCCGAAGGGAAACCGAGUCUUAACUGGGCGUUAAGUUGCAGGGUAUAGACCCGAAACCCGGUGAUCUAGCCAUGGGCAGGUUGAAGGUUGGGUAACACUAACUGGAGGACCGAACCGACUAAUGUUGAAAAAUUAGCGGAUGACUUGUGGCUGGGGGUGAAAGGCCAAUCAAACCGGGAGAUAGCUGGUUCUCCCCGAAAGCUAUUUAGGUAGCGCCUCGUGAAUUCAUCUCCGGGGGUAGAGCACUGUUUCGGCAAGGGGGUCAUCCCGACUUACCAACCCGAUGCAAACUGCGAAUACCGGAGAAUGUUAUCACGGGAGACACACGGCGGGUGCUAACGUCCGUCGUGAAGAGGGAAACAACCCAGACCGCCAGCUAAGGUCCCAAAGUCAUGGUUAAGUGGGAAACGAUGUGGGAAGGCCCAGACAGCCAGGAUGUUGGCUUAGAAGCAGCCAUCAUUUAAAGAAAGCGUAAUAGCUCACUGGUCGAGUCGGCCUGCGCGGAAGAUGUAACGGGGCUAAACCAUGCACCGAAGCUGCGGCAGCGACACUGUGUGUUGUUGGGUAGGGGAGCGUUCUGUAAGCCUGCGAAGGUGUGCUGUGAGGCAUGCUGGAGGUAUCAGAAGUGCGAAUGCUGACAUAAGUAACGAUAAAGCGGGUGAAAAGCCCGCUCGCCGGAAGACCAAGGGUUCCUGUCCAACGUUAAUCGGGGCAGGGUGAGUCGACCCCUAAGGCGAGGCCGAAAGGCGUAGUCGAUGGGAAACAGGUUAAUAUUCCUGUACUUGGUGUUACUGCGAAGGGGGGACGGAGAAGGCUAUGUUGGCCGGGCGACGGUUGUCCCGGUUUAAGCGUGUAGGCUGGUUUUCCAGGCAAAUCCGGAAAAUCAAGGCUGAGGCGUGAUGACGAGGCACUACGGUGCUGAAGCAACAAAUGCCCUGCUUCCAGGAAAAGCCUCUAAGCAUCAGGUAACAUCAAAUCGUACCCCAAACCGACACAGGUGGUCAGGUAGAGAAUACCAAGGCGCUUGAGAGAACUCGGGUGAAGGAACUAGGCAAAAUGGUGCCGUAACUUCGGGAGAAGGCACGCUGAUAUGUAGGUGAAGUCCCUCGCGGAUGGAGCUGAAAUCAGUCGAAGAUACCAGCUGGCUGCAACUGUUUAUUAAAAACACAGCACUGUGCAAACACGAAAGUGGACGUAUACGGUGUGACGCCUGCCCGGUGCCGGAAGGUUAAUUGAUGGGGUCAGCGCAAGCGAAGCUCUUGAUCGAAGCCCCGGUAAACGGCGGCCGUAACUAUAACGGUCCUAAGGUAGCGAAAUUCCUUGUCGGGUAAGUUCCGACCUGCACGAAUGGCGUAAUGAUGGCCAGGCUGUCUCCACCCGAGACUCAGUGAAAUUGAACUCGCUGUGAAGAUGCAGUGUACCCGCGGCAAGACGGAAAGACCCCGUGAACCUUUACUAUAGCUUGACACUGAACAUUGAGCCUUGAUGUGUAGGAUAGGUGGGAGGCUUUGAAGUGUGGACGCCAGUCUGCAUGGAGCCGGCCUUGAAAUACCACCCUUUAAUGUUUGAUGUUCUAACGUUGACCCGUAAUCCGGGUUGCGGACAGUGUCUGGUGGGUAGUUUGACUGGGGCGGUCUCCUCCUAAAGAGUAACGGAGGAGCACGAAGGUUGGCUAAUCCUGGUCGGACAUCAGGAGGUUAGUGCAAUGGCAUAAGCCAGCUUGACUGCGAGCGUGACGGCGCGAGCAGGUGCGAAAGCAGGUCAUAGUGAUCCGGUGGUUCUGAAUGGAAGGGCCAUCGCUCAACGGAUAAAAGGUACUCCGGGGAUAACAGGCUGAUACCGCCCAAGAGUUCAUAUCGACGGCGGUGUUUGGCACCUCGAUGUCGGCUCAUCACAUCCUGGGGCUGAAGUAGGUCCCAAGGGUAUGGCUGUUCGCCAUUUAAAGUGGUACGCGAGCUGGGUUUAGAACGUCGUGAGACAGUUCGGUCCCUAUCUGCCGUGGGCGCUGGAGAACUGAGGGGGGCUGCUCCUAGUACGAGAGGACCGGAGUGGACGCAUCACUGGUGUUCGGGUUGUCAUGCCAAUGGCACUGCCCGGUAGCUAAAUGCGGAAGAGAUAAGUGCUGAAAGCAUCUAAGCACGAAACUUGCCCCGAGAUGAGUUCUCCCUGACUCCUUGAGAGUCCUGAAGGAACGUUGAAGACGACGACGUUGAUAGGCCGGGUGUGUAAGCGCAGCGAUGCGUUGAGCUAACCGGUACUAAUGAACCGUGAGGCUUAACCUUACAACGCCGAAG
rnacentral:rRNA from 1 species